GCGUUCGUAGCUCAGUUGGAUAGAGUGGCGGACUUCGAAUCCGUUGGUCGGGGGUUCGAGCCCCUCCGGACGCG
rnacentral:tRNA from 1 species